rnacentral:rRNA from 1 species
UACGUAGGGUGCAAGCGUUGUCCGGAAUUAUUUGGCGUAAAGAGCUCGUAGGCGGUUUGUUGCGUCGGCUGUGAAAUCCCGAGGCUCAACCUCGGGUCUGCAGUCGAUACGAGCAAACUAGAGUGUUGCAGGGGAGACUGGAAUUCCUGGUGUAGCGGUGAAAUGCGCAGAUAUCAGGAGGAACACCGGUGGCGAAGGCGGGUCUCUGGGCAACAACUGACGCUGAGGAGCGAAAGCGUGGGGAGCGAACAGG